rnacentral:rRNA from 1 species
AAUCAACGCUGGCGGCGUGCCUCAGACAUGCAAGUCGAACGAUUAAAGCUCUCUUCGGAGAGUGCAUAGAGUGGCGCACGGGUGAGUAACACGUAAGUAAUCUACCCUCGAGUGGGGAAUAACGUCCGGAAACGGGCGCUCAUACCGCAUAAUGCAGCGGCAUCAUAAGAUGACAGUUGUUAAAGAUUUAUCGCUUGAGGAGGAGCUUGCGGCAGAUUAGCUAGUUGGUAAGGUAACGGCUUACCAAGGCUACGAUCUGUAACCGGUCUUAGAGGACGGUCGGUCACACUGACACUGAAUAACGGGUCAGACUCCUACGGGAGGCAGCAGUCGGGAAUUUUGGGCAAUGGGCGAAAGCCUGACCCAGCAACGCCGCGUGAAGGAUGAAGUAUUUCGGUAUGUAAACUUCGAAAGAAUAGGAAGAAUUAAUGACGGUACUAUUUAUAAGGUCCGGCUAACUACGUGCCAGCCGCCGCGGUAAGAC